ensembl:lncRNA
AUGGAGGGCCAGGCCCAUGUAGGGGAACAGGGACAGGAAGCGAUGGCCCUCUAUGAUGGCGAGUCGGUGUCACCUUGUCUGGAGACUCAGGCGUUGAGUCGGCCAUCUUGUCUGGCGACACAGGUGCAGAUUCGGCCAUCUUGUGCUGUGGCGCUGGCCCUGCGGCCAUCAUGGGCAGUGGCGCCACCAUGGCGGACCUGCGCUUCUUUUCCCCUCUCCGUCCGCCAUGGUGAGACAGUGGCUCCGAUCCGUCACACACGAGCCCAGGGUCGAAGGGGGGCCAUGGUUGAGAGCGAUAUUGAACCUCCUCUCGACCACUCCCUCCUCGGCGACCUCCCCUGGUUCCCCGGAAGACCACCAGGCGAGUUCCCUCAAAACGGCUCCUCUCCCGCUCUGUGGCUCGGGAGGAGACGUGAGCAGACAUACCGCUGGAUCUCAAGUUGACAGAGUCCUUCUGUCACGUCCGGGAUACAAGGAGACACAGUGAGAGAUCCAAAUGCGAGUACGUCUUUAUUUAGGGGCAAUCCAAAGAAUAAACAGUCCAGGCAGGGGUCA